AUCCAGAUGAAGAGUCUCAAUUAGGAUGAAACGCGCAUCUUGGAU
rfam:Schistosoma curassoni strain Dakar, Senegal genome assembly, scaffold: SCTD_contig0005964